UACAGAGGUCCCAAGCGUUUGUUCGGAUUCACUGGGCGUAAAGGGUGCGUAGGUGGUUAGGUAAGUCCGAUGUGAAAUCUCCAGGCUCAACCUGGAAAUGGCAUUGGAUACUAUCUAGCUUGAGGAGUGGAGGGGGGACUGGAAUUCUCGGUGUAGCAGUGAAAUGCGUAGAUAUCGAGAGGAACACCAGUGGCGAAGGCGAGUCCCUGGACACUUCCUGACACUGAGGCACGAAAGCUAGGGGAGCAAACAGG
rnacentral:rRNA from 1 species